rnacentral:lncRNA from 1 species
AACUUUAGUUGAAGCAUUCUAUUCAAAUCUUCACAAAGAUGAAGAUGGUGAGGUGGUCACCUCCAUCAAUGGCAUUCACAUUCUCCUCUCCGACGAGAACCUUCACACCAUCGCCCGCAUUCCAAACGAUGGUGAAGAUAUUUACCGGUAUAUUGAUGAGGCCGGUUCUCUCCUUGAUGAAUCUAUUCUUUUCCGCCAAGCCGGAAUCACCUAUGAUCAAGCUUCUUCUCGUCGUCCUACUAUCUCGGGCAUGGACCCAAAUUAUCGACUUCUCCUCUAUUUCAUCACCCGUGUCCUAAGACCUCGUAGGCACAAUCACACCACCAUCUCCUAAGAGGAUGCCAAGCUUUUACAUGCCAUUGUCACUGGAGCCAAGAUCAAUUGGUGUCGGCUCAUUAAAAUGCAUAUGCUCNNNNNNNNNNNNNNNNNNNNNNNNNNNUGUCCUAAGACCUCGUAGGCACAAUCAUACCACCAUAUCCCAAGAGGACUCCAAGCUCUUACAUGCCAUUGUCACUGGAGCCAAGAUCAAUUGGUGUCGUCUCAUUAAAAUGCACAUGUUCGAUGCCGUCGCCGAUAACAUGCCCCUUCCUUAUUCUCUCCUCAUCAUGAACUUUCUUGAAGCAUCCGGAUUUGUCACGGAAAAUGGUCCUCUUAAAAGGAGUACCAAAAUCUGGGAAAUCUCGGAAUCAUCCUUUCAUCAUGAUGGUGAUCAUGCUCCAGCUCCUCCUCCUACCCGUCCUGCCCGUCGUGCUCGUCCAUCUCAGGAGCCCACUCUCCAAACUAUAUCCGACC